UUUAUGGAGAGUUUGAUCCUGGCUCAGGAUGAACGCUGGCGGCGUGCCUAAUACAUGCAAGUCGAGCGAACGGACGAGAAGCUUGCUUCUCUGAUGUUAGCGGCGGACGGGUGAGUAACACGUGGAUAACCUACCUAUAAGACUGGGAUAACUUCGGGAAACCGGAGCUAAUACCGGAUAAUAUUUUGAACCGCAUGGUUCAAAAGUGAAAGACGGUCUUGCUGUCACUUAUGGAUGGAUCCGCGCUGCAUUAGCUAGUUGGUAAGGUAACGGCUUACCAAGGCAACGAUGCAUAGCCGACCUGAGAGGGUGAUCGGCCACACUGGAACUGAGACACGGUCCAGACUCCUACGGGAGGCAGCAGUAGGGAAUCUUCCGCAAUGGGCGAAAGCCUGACGGAGCAACGCCGCGUGAGUGAUGAAGGUCUUCGGAUCGUAAAACUCUGUUAUUAGGGAAGAACAUAUGUGUAAGUAACUGUGCACAUCUUGACGGUACCUAAUCAGAAAGCCACGGCUAACUACGUGCCAGCAGCCGCGGUAAUACGUAGGUGGCAAGCGUUAUCCGGAAUUAUUGGGCGUAAAGCGCGCGUAGGCGGUUUUUUAAGUCUGAUGUGAAAGCCCACGGCUCAACCGUGGAGGGUCAUUGGAAACUGGAAAACUUGAGUGCAGAAGAGGAAAGUGGAAUUCCAUGUGUAGCGGUGAAAUGCGCAGAGAUAUGGAGGAACACCAGUGGCGAAGGCGACUUUCUGGUCUGUAACUGACGCUGAUGUGCGAAAGCGUGGGGAUCAAACAGGAUUAGAUACCCUGGUAGUCCACGCCGUAAACGAUGAGUGCUAAGUGUUAGGGGGUUUCCGCCCUUAGUGCUGCAGCUAACGCAUUAAGCACUCCGCCUGGGGAGUACGACCGCAAGGUUGAAACUCAAAGGAAUUGACGGGGACCCGCACAAGCGGUGGAGCAUGUGGUUUAAUUCGAAGCAACGCGAAGAACCUUACCAAAUCUUGACAUCCUUUGACAACUCUAGAGAUAGAGCCUUCCCCUUCGGGGGACAAAGUGACAGGUGGUGCAUGGUUGUCGUCAGCUCGUGUCGUGAGAUGUUGGGUUAAGUCCCGCAACGAGCGCAACCCUUAAGCUUAGUUGCCAUCAUUAAGUUGGGCACUCUAAGUUGACUGCCGGUGACAAACCGGAGGAAGGUGGGGAUGACGUCAAAUCAUCAUGCCCCUUAUGAUUUGGGCUACACACGUGCUACAAUGGACAAUACAAAGGGCAGCGAAACCGCGAGGUCAAGCAAAUCCCAUAAAGUUGUUCUCAGUUCGGAUUGUAGUCUGCAACUCGACUACAUGAAGCUGGAAUCGCUAGUAAUCGUAGAUCAGCAUGCUACGGUGAAUACGUUCCCGGGUCUUGUACACACCGCCCGUCACACCACGAGAGUUUGUAACACCCGAAGCCGGUGGAGUAACCUUUUAGGAGCUAGCCGUCGAAGGUGGGACAAAUGAUUGGGGUGAAGUCGUAACAAGGUAGCCGUAUCGGAAGGUGCGGCUGGAUCACCUCCUUUCU
rnacentral:rRNA from 1 species